GAUGAACGCUAGCGGCAGGCUUAAUACAUGCAAGUCGAGGGGCAGCAGGUCCCGCAGCAAUGCGGGAUGCUGGCGACCGGCAAACGGGUGCGGAACACGUACAGAACCUUCCUUUAAGUGGGGAAUAGCCCGGGGAAACCCGGAUUAAUACCCCGUAACAUAAUGAAGUGGCCUCACUUUAUUAUUAUAGCAGCAAUGCGCUUGAAGAUGGCUGUGCGGCGGAUUAGGUAGUUGGCGGGGUAACGGCCCACCAAGCCUACGAUCAGUAACUGGUGUGAGAGCACAACCAGUCACACGGGCACUGAGACACGGGCCCGACUCCUACGGGAGGCAGCAGUAAGGAAUAUUGGGCAAUGGACGCAAGUCUGGCCCAGCCAUGCCGCGUGGAGGAUGAAGGUCCUCUGGAUUGUAAACUUCUUUUAUCUGGGAAGAAAUCUAUUUUUUCUAAAGUAGUUGACGGUACCAGAUGAAUAAGCACCGGCUAACUCCGUGCCAGCCGCCGCCGUAA
rnacentral:rRNA from 1 species